rnacentral:rRNA from 1 species
AACGAACGCUGGCGGCAUGCCUAAUACAUGCAAGUCGAACGAUCACUUCGGUGAUAGUGGCGCACGGGUGCGUAACGCGUGGGAAUCUGCCCUUGGGUUCGGAAUAACAGCUGGAAACGGCUGCUAAUACCGGAUGGUGACGUAAGUCCAAAGAUUUAUCGCCCAAGGAUGAGCCCGCGUAGGAUUAGCUAGUUGGUGGGGUAAAGGCCCACCAAGGCGACGAUCCUUAGCUGGUCUGAGAGGAUGAUCAGCCACACUGGGACUGAGACACGGCCCAGACUCCUACGGGAGGCAGCAGUAGGGAAUAUUGGACAAUGGGGGCAACCCUGAUCCAGCAAUGCCGCGUGAGUGAUGAAGGCCUUAGGGUUGUAAAGCUCUUUUACCCGAGAUGAUAAUGACAGUAUCGGGAGAAUAAGCUCCGGCUAACUCCGUGCCAGCAGCCGCCGUAA